rnacentral:lncRNA from 1 species
CGCAUUCUGCCAUAUGAUGGCGCCAGAGAACGCGCCUACCGGGAUAGGGAGGGGCAAGGAGGCGAGGAAGGAAAAAAAAGAGACAAGUGAAGAUUGACAUCCAUUAAGGCCAAUGGUAGCUCAAUCUUCUGUUCUCUGACUCCCAAGCUUCCCAUUCUCUUAGGAGGCUGCAUUUGUGGCGCUAAAAAAAGGGAUGGGCGUGGGAGAUUCCAGGACUUGUGCUCGCUGAAGAUACAACUGUUAGUCCAAGGGGUGACCCUGGAGAUCAUUACCAAAAUUUAAAAAUUUCACCACUGGGCACACAUGUUACCCUUCUCGUGAUGGCAUGGCAAAGCUUGAUUUGCAAGAGUUUCUUUUGGAUUGUCCCCAAUGAUUCCCUUUAAAAAUAGGAGCUCCUUCAAGCUCCUGUAUCAGCAGUGCUUGCACCUCAUAGGUGAUGAUCAUGAGGGGGACAAGGAGCCUCUAGACUUAAGAGACAAGUUGCCAGCAUUCUCCAGAUGGAGUGUUUCCCUCCGCAGCACCCCCUGCUGGUCAGUUUGACAAGCAGGUGAACAGAAGUUCUCAAAUACACAAUAGUAGAUUCUAUCAAUCAAGUUUCAUAAAGAGUUCUGAUUCCCAGAGGACUUAUGGAGCAAGGAUGACUGACACAAACACAAAAAUCAUUCUGCCUGUUGAAUGAAUCAUAAAAUACUGUCUUUGAUCCAGGAGGCUUGUGUCAUCUGCCAGCAUUUAUGAAACUGUGCUCCAAGUAGGAUGGGGUCUCUAUCUGGCCAGCGCCAUGUUGCCUGAACACUUGAAGACAAAGAAAAGGGAAGAAGAGGCAGGGCGCCGUAGCUCACGCCUGUAAUCACCGCACUUUCUGAGGGCGAGGAGGGUGGAUCACGAGGUCAGGAGUUCAAGACCAGCUUGGCCAAGAUGGUGAAACCUCGUCUCCACUAAAAAAAAUACAAAAAAAAAAAAAUUUAGCCGGGCCUGUUGGUGGGCUCCUGAAAUCCCAGCCACUCAGGAGGCUGAGGUAGAGAGCUGCUUGAACCCGGGAGGCAGAGGGUGCAGUGAGCCGACAUCGCCCCACUCCACUCCAGCAUGGGCAACAGAGCGAGACUCCGUCAAAAAAAAAAAAAAAAAAAAAAAGAAGAGGACACCUCCAUGUUGAACAUGCGAGUAUGCCUGGCUUCCAAGUAUCCCUUUUCUAUUGGCAUAGGUGCCGGCAUUCCCCUUUGCAAGUUUUAGCUUGCUUAUCUAUGCUUGCAGCUGAUUUUUCAGGCUGAUUGUUGUUAGAAAACAAAAUUAGAUGGGGGCUGCUUUUUUAUUAAAAGGAAAACCUUACCAACGACUCCCUUACCCACACUAACUGCCUAAAUAAUUGAUUUUUUUAGCUCCUGUAUCAGCAGUGCUUGCCCCUGAUAGAUGAUGAUCAUGGGGGGACCAGGAGCCUCUAGACUUAGAGAACUUUCCCCACCCUCCCUGUGGAGUGUUUCCCUCCCCAGCACCCCCUGCUGGUCAGUUUGACAAACAGAUGAACAGAAGUUCUCAAAUACACAGUAAGCAGAUAACCCCAACAUCACCAGAAAUAUCAACUUGUGAUGGCAUUUUGUCAAGUUGUCUUUGUUAUCGGCAUCAUCUGUUGCUUUCUGAGGGAAGUAUUUUGAGUUCUCCUACUGAGACUGUGGAUUUGCCUAUUUCUUUUUGUAUGUCAGCUUUUGCCAUAUGUAUUUUGUAGUUGUGUUGUGAGGAAGAUUCAUGACUUAUCUUGUGGGAGAAUUCUGUAUUUAGCAGAUUUUCGUCUUAAGUUCUGUUUUGCUUAGUAUUGAUGUUAUUACUUUGCUUUUUCAGUUUCAAAAUCAUUUAGUAUAUCUUUUUCCUUUCUUUUAGCCUUUGUGUUUUUAUUUCAGAUGUGCUUUCUUAUGUACUGACUGUGAUCCCCAAAUUCAUAUGUUGAAGUCCCAACUCCAAAUGUAUUUGGAGGUGGGCCUUUCAGACGUAAUUGAGUUUAGAUGACGUCAUGAGGGUGGAGCCCCCAUGAUGACACUAAGUCCUUCUAAGAAAAGGAAGAGAGUCUGAGCCCUCCUCUACACCAUGUGAGGGCACAGAGAGAGAGCAGCCAUCAACAAGCUGAGAGAGGAGGACUGAGAAUGAAACCUACCUCGCCAGAACCUUGUCAUAUCCCUUCCCGGUUUCCAAACGAGUGAGAAAUCAAUUUCUGUUGUGUAAGCUACUCAGUGUAUGAAACUUUGUUAUGGCAGCCAGAGCAGAUUAAUGCAUGCUUCUUGGACUUUGUUUUUAACUCAAUAUGAAAAACAUAUGUUUUAAUAAAAAAAUUACCCCAUUCAUCUGUAUUGUGUUUACUGAUAAUUUUGGACUUAUUUUUGCCAUAUUUAAGA